rnacentral:lncRNA from 1 species
GAAAGGCAAGGGACUGAGUAGGAAUUUGAGGCAGCGUGUGUUGGCCAAGGCUAGCUAGACUCGUUGAGCCUUCAAGUCAAUUACAGAGAGACGUCGAAGUCACCGAUGACAAUGACUGUUCUUCUUGUCAUAGGAGUCCCUGUCUUUUCUCAGUGGCCUGAAGGCUGGGCUGUCUGCCCUGAGUAGGUCUUCUGGCUCCGAGCUUUCUCUUGUCUGGACAGACCAGGCUUCUACGCAUGAAUCGUAGUUGGAUGUGUCACCCUCCCUUCUCCCUCAAUAAAUGCACAGUUGCCAAUCUUUGCUUAUGUAGGGGAAUCGUGAUUUCUUAUGGCAAUGCCUCCUUAGCCACCUGUAGGGUGUGAUAUGUUCUAGAAGACUUUCUUCAUCCUACUGAGGAGACCCUCCUGGCCCACCGAGGUGUGUUACAUUGAUUGUACAUGGCUACUUCCCACUCUCAGCCUAGAAGAAUAAACCCUUAGAUUGCGGGGGAACUGAGCCAGGCAAGCCACAGGCAGCCUUGAGCGCCCCCUUGCCUGCCCU